rnacentral:rRNA from 1 species
CCUACGGGUGGCAGCAGUGAGGAAUAUUGGUCAAUGGCCGAGAGGCUGAACCAGCCAAGUCGCGUGAGGGAAGACGGCCCUACGGGUUGUAAACCUCUUUUGUCGGGGAGCAAAGCGAGUCACGUGUGACUCAUUGAGAGUACCCGAAGAAAAAGCAUCGGCUAACUCCGUGCCAGCCGCCGCGGUAAUACGGAGGAUGCGAGCGUUCUCCGGAUUUAUUGGGUUUAAAGGGUGCGCAGGCGGAGUUGCAAGUCAGCGGUAAAAUUGCGGGGCUCAACCCCGUACUGCCGUUGAAACUGCAUCCCUUGAGUGCGCGAGAGGUAUGCGGAAUGCGUGGUGUAGCGGUGAAAUGCAUAGAUAUCACGCAGAACCCCGAUUGCGAAGGCAGCAUACCGGCGCGCAACUGACGCUCAUGCACGAAAGCGUGGGUAUCGAACAGGAUUAGAUACCCCAGUAGUC